CAGUGAGAUGCAGGUGUGGUGGUGCCUGCCUGCUAUCCCACCAUCUAGAACAGUGAGAUGCAGGUGUGGUGGUGCCUGCCUGCGAUCCCACCAUCUAGCACAGUGAGAUGCAGGUAUGGUGGUGCCUGCCUGCUAUCCCACCAUCUAGCACAGUGAGAUGCAGGUGUGGUGGUGCCUGCCUGCGAUCCCACCAUCUAGCACAGUGAGAUGCAGGUGUGGUGGUUCCUGCCUGCUAUCCCACCAUCUAGCACAGUGAGAUGCAGGUAUGGUGGUUCCUGCCUGCUAUCCCACCAUCUAGCACAGUGAG